CCAAGUGUAGCGGUGAAAUGCGUAGAGAUUUGGAGGAACACCAGUGGCGAAGGCGACUGUCUGGUCUGUAACUGACACUGAGGCGCGAAAGCGUGGGGAGCAAAACAGGAUUAGAUACCCUGGUAGUCCACGCCGUAAACGAUGAGUGCUAAGUGUUAGGGGGUUUCCGCCCCUUAGUGCUGCAGCUAACGCAUUAAGCACUCCGCCUGGGGAGUACGGUCGCAAGACUGAAACUCAAAGGAAUUGACGGGGGCCCGCACAAGCGGUGGAGCAUGUGGUUUAAUUCGAAGCAACGCGAAGAACCUUACCAGGUCUUGACAUCCCGCUGACCGGUGUAGAGAUACAUCUUUCCCUUCGGGGACAGCGGUGACAGGUGGUGCAUGGUUGUCGUCAGCUCGUGUCGUGAGAUGUUGGGUUAAGUCCCGCAACGAGCGCAACCCUUGAUCUUAGUUGCCAGCAUUUAGUUGGGCACUCUAAGGUGACUGCCGGUGACAAACCGGAGGAAGGUGGGGAUGACGUCAAAUCAUCAUGCCCCUUAUGACCUGGGCUACACACGUGCUACAAUGGACGGUACAAAGGGCUGCGAACCCGCGAGGGGGAGCCAAUCCCAUAAAACCGUUCCCAGUUCGGAUUGCAGGCUGCAACUCGCCUGCAUGAAGCCGGAAUCGCUAGUAAUCGUGGAUCAGCAUGCCACGGUGAAUACGUUCCCGGGUCUUGUACACACCGCCCGUCACACCACGAGAGUUUGUAACACCCGAAGUCGGUGGGGUAACCCUUACGGGAGCCAGCCGCCGAAGGUGGGACAGAUGAUUGGGGUGAAGUCGUAACAAGGUAACC
rnacentral:rRNA from 1 species